rnacentral:rRNA from 1 species
GAUGAACGCUGGCGGCGUGCUUAACACAUGCAAGUCGAACGGAAAGGCCCAAGCUUGCUUGGGUACUCGAGUGGCGAACGGGUGAGUAACACGUGGGUGAUCUGCCCUGCACUUCGGGAUAAGCCUGGGAAACUGGGUCUAAUACCGGAUAGGACGAUGGUUUGGAUGCCAUUGUGGAAAGUUUUUUCGGUGUGGGAUGAGCUCGCGGCCUAUCAGCUUGUUGUUGGGGUAAUGGCCUACCAAGGCGUCGACGGGUAGCCGGCCUGAGAGGGUGUACGGCCGCAUUGGGACUGGGAUACGGGCCAGACUCCUGCGGGAGGCAGCAGUGGGGAAUAUUGCACAAUGGGCGCAAGCCUGAUGCAGCGACGCCGCGUGGGGGAUGACGGCCUUCGGGUUGUAAACUCCUUUCGCUAGGGACGAAGCGUUUUUGUGACGGUACCUGGAGAAGAAGCGCCGGCUAACUACGUG